AUGCUGCACAUUUACUUUAUAAUUUUUUAUGUGAUUGACCUAUCAAUAUCGAUGAAGGAGCAGCACUGGAUUAAAAUACCAUGUCCAGCUAGCAUUGAACAAGGUGUAGAAUACAGGAAAAUCACCUGGUACAAGGUUGAAGAGGAUUCUGAUGUGCUGAUUGGACUUGUUUUGAAGGAUUUCCUUAAAAACAUCACAACCCUCUAUAAGUUUGCAAAUUAUUCCUAUGAGGUGGGGGAAGACAACUCUCUUCUGGUGCCUAGUUCUGCUAAAGUAGACUGUGGCAUUUACAGAUGCACUUUAUGGCCUCCACUGGGUCAUUACAUUCAGGAAGGAAAUACGGAUUAUUAUUCAGCAGACUGCAUAAAGCCUCAACUACAAGUGGUAAGCUUCAAGAAGCACGAUCUUCCUGCCAGUGAUCGUUUUAAAUACAUCAUAAUACCAUGUGUGCUGAUGGCUUGUGCUGCUGUUAUCAUGUUUCUGAACAUCAGAAUGAUUAAGAAAACAAAAGAAAAAUAUAAUAUCAAGAAAAAACUUCUGCAAACUGAUGAAAGCAUAUAAGUAACUGUUUUGUACCGUAUAUGGAUUCAUUUUGCAUCACCAAUAGGCAGCAACAGCUAAUGAUGUUAUAUAUUUAUAAAUGAAGGUCACUGUGUUCUUUAAAAAACAUUAUCCAAAUGCAUGCUCACACUCAUGUAAAAUUUUCGCUAUUUGUAAAAUCUUAACUAUGACUCAAUAAACUCUUACUUUGUUCCAUUUUAAUAGUUAUCAGUUGUUAUGUUAUUAAUAAUGGUUGUUAACUUUAGGUAUUGGGUUAGGGAUGUAGAAUAUGGUCAUGCAGAAAAUGUGCUUUAUAAGUACUAAUAAACAGCCAAUAUGCUUAUAAUAGGCAUGCAAAUAAGCAACUGGUAAUAAGAUAAUUGUUCCCAAUACUAAAAUGUUUGCAAAUACACUAAUAAAGUAAUUACAUUUUCUUUUUUUUAUUACUGUUGUUAACAAAUAUUAUUAUAUAUUUUGUUAAUAAAUUCUCAGUAAAUGCUGGAAGUGUCAUGAUAAUUGCAAACAUGCUUUAAUUUAACUGAGCUGAAUUCUCAACUCACAAUAGGUCUACAUAAUUUUUGAGUUAAUUUUCAUUUGUACAGGACUAAAAUAUUGAGUUUAUUACUUUUUAGCGUUCAAAUUUGCUAAUUUCAUUUAUUUACUGAUACAGUGCACUCAAUUGCAAUACACUAGGGCUAUAAGUAUAAAGGGUUUGUCCUUGAAAUCUUUGAAAAUUUGUGAAUUUAACAUAGUGUUUUCAAGGUUUGAAAAGUGCUUGGAUUUGGAAUGAAGUGCUUGAAACCAUGUGCAAUUGCAUUGGUUUUAUAAUAAUUUUCUUACUGAAAGGUUUACUUUUUCGAUAAAAUGCCUUUUUAUUGAUGUGCACCAUUUGAUAGCACAGAGUGGGAGAUAAAAAACAUGCAGGAGGAUGCCACUUCAGUCAGUGUUGUCUUGAAAAUGACAAAUUAUGGUUAAAAUAAUGCAAAGUCUUCUGUAAAGUCUGUCUUUUUUUUUCAUGGGAGAGUCUAAGUUUUGAAGCCAACAGGACCAAUUUUGUAAUCCACCAAUCAGUGCUUUUGUUCUCUUGUUGCUAGGCAGAAUUCCUUGCAUGGCCAAUAACAUUAAAAGAUGAACAGAGUGAAGUUGAGUUUUUUCAAAAGAUUAAUCAAGAUUUUGAGUUUACAACACUUAAGUUUAUGCAUUUUGAAGAUAAAUAAGUUAAAUUAACUCAUAUUUUUAAGUGCAAGGGCCAAAAUGCCAAAUUUUAAGUAAUGUUUAGUCAACAUUACUUUGAUUGUUUAAGUAAAGACAACAUUAGCUCUCUGAUGGUCUUCGUUUCUUGUCCACACUCGUGUUUUUUGGGGUCUCCAGAGACCCCAGACAAUAACAUUUAAUUUUGUAACAAGAAAA
rnacentral:lncRNA from 1 species